rnacentral:lncRNA from 1 species
AGGCAGAGAGAUUUCUUAGAUAUGAGGUACCUACAGAACCAUCCAGUAGGCACUCCAUUAAAAUUGUGAAGGAUCAAAAAGGGUACGUAAUUUUCCAGCAUCAAAACGUUCGACCCUCCGCAACUUUUGUGAAUUCCGGAAGAGAAGUUCAAUACAUAUUAGUCUGGGCACGAAGCUGUGUUGCUGCAACUCCUUUCGUAACCUUCAGUGAAGAUAGGUUUCACAUCAUUCUUUUUACCCUUUCUUUCCUUUAUUUUUGAUUUAAGGCCAUCCAAGCGCUCUGAAAUAAGUGAACAUCUGAAAGAGCAUUGCCUUCAAUCUCAUCUGGAGAAUCAGAUUCGCAACAUAUUCAUGGCAGUAACAUAGCCUAUGGAGAUUCCAUUCCGGAAAUCAGUGGCAGGGAGCAAAAGAAGAAAGAAAGAAGUUAGAUCAUGAUGGAUGAGCCAUUGAGAUCACAUGAAGGAGAAUGAGGAGUCGCGGAACCGUACGGAUGAAGAAAGUGAGUCGAAAGAUACUUUGUCCUGACAAGAGGAAUGGCCACAUAGG